rnacentral:lncRNA from 1 species
UCCCUCUCCUCGGUGCUCAGCGGGAGAAGCAUGAGGUGAUGCACCUUUGACCCCGUAGUGCUCGGCUCCAAUUCAUCAGGGAGGCCACCGGCAAGCAUCAAGCUGCCCUUGGUGCUUCCUCGUCAUCAAGGAGGAGGAGGUCGGGUAGCACCGUCCUCAAGGUACAUCCUCGCUGCUUUGACCCGCCUCUUUUGUGCACCUGUCCUUCCUAUUUCUCUUACUGUCGCGGUGCUCGUGCCGCUGCCGAUCCUAACCUAGGUCGCCGUCACUCCUCGGCGCUUCACAGGACAGGCACAACCACGACACCGCAGAGACGGACGAGAAUGUGGUGCUGCUCCUUCUUGUGGUGUAUGCAUCGGCGUGGCUUGCGGUAGUGAUGCAUAUCUUCGUGGGCAAUGCUAUUUGAAGACCAUUCAAGUGAUUUAAUGGAGAAGAUGUCCAGACUGUAAGGAGGCUGAAGAUGACGAUCAAAAGAUUGACAUAUUAAGUGACUGCCAAGAAGCCAAUAAUGCUUGCCCCCUGCCAUUAGUAAUACCCUUGCUCUUCUUUACGAAAUCUUUCCUAACUAUCGUUGCAGAUUGUGAGAUCCCUAUUUAAAUACAUCACUCAGCAGCUGGCCGGUACAGAGUUGCGUGGCAGGCAUAUGUGUUCUCAGCCACCUUAUCAAUUGUGGGCUUAGAAUGAUUUGCUUCGUCCAGGUGUUGUACGUCAACAAUUCCUUUGUUUGUCCAUGUCAAUCCUGAUUUUAGAGGAUACAUAUGUUUUGGUAGGAAGUGUAUUGUUCUUAUGUUUUUUCCUGGUAUGUAUUGACUGAUGCAGUAACUGAUGUUUCAGAUUAUAAAAUCCCUAUUUAAUGAAUCGCUCGGUAAUUGUUUGUAUGAAUGCAUAUGCUGAAUCCGGGUUCGUACUAACUCAACAUUACCUGCUUGACCAAAACAUUGGACCGGCACCCUCGCGACAAGGCGCGAUUCCGAUCUAGUCAUGACGAG